AUUAUAAUUUUAAAAAACGUAAUUUUAAAGUCUACCUAAUUCUUAAAAAUAAUCAUAUCAAAUUAAUACUUAUAUUUCUUACAAUUCCUAACUAAUGAUCGCUUGAAAAAUUUCACAAAAUCCAAAUGACCCGCAAAACCCGAGUCCGCAAUCAUCUAGAUCUGACGUUGUCAAUCAAAGGCGAACUAGUUUACAUCCAUUAGAAGAAGUAGAGCUCAAUAGA
rnacentral:misc_RNA from 1 species